rnacentral:rRNA from 1 species
GACGUAGGGCGCAAGCGUUGUCCGGAUUUAUUGGGCGUAAAGAGCUCGUAGGCGGCUUGUCGCGUCGACUGUGAAAACCCGCAGCUUAACUGCGGGACUGCAGUCGAUACGGGCAGACUAGAGGUAGGUAGGGGAGAAUGGAAUUCCCGGUGUAGCGGUGAAAUGCGCAGAUAUCGGGAGGAACACCGGUGGCGAAGGCGGUUCUCUGGGCCUUACCUGACGCUGAGGAGCGAAAGCGUGGGGAGCGAACAGG